CUAAGUUUGAUGGCGACCGGCGCACGGGUGAGUAACACGUAUCCAACCUGCCGAUGACUCGGGGAUAGCCUUUCGAAAGAAAGAUUAAUACCCGAUGGCAUAGUUCUUCCGCAUGGUGGAACUAUUAAAGAAUUUCGGUCAUCGAUGGGGAUGCGUUCCAUUAGGUUGUUGGCGGGGUAACGGCCCACCAAGCCUUCGAUGGAUAGGGGUUCUGAGAGGAAGGUCCCCCACAUUAGAACUGAGACACGGUCCAAACUCCUACGGGAGGCAGCAUGG
rnacentral:rRNA from 1 species